rnacentral:rRNA from 1 species
AGAGUUUGAUCCUGGCUCAGGACGAACGCUGGCGGCGUGCUUAACACAUGCAAGUCGAACGAGGUCUUCGGACCUAGUGGCGAACGGGUGAGUAACACGUGAGGAACGUGCCCCAGAGACCGGGAUAAGCCGAGGAAACUUGGUCUAAUACCGGAUGUCCCCAUCGGAUCGCAUGGUCUGAUGAGGAAAUGGAUUCCGCUCUGGGAGCGCCUCGCGGCCUAUCAGCUAGUUGGUGGGGUAACGGCCCACCAAGGCAUCGACGGGUAGCUGGUCUGAGAGGAUGAUCAGCCACACUGGGACUGAGACACGGCCCAGACUCCUACGGGAGGCAGCAGUGGGGAAUCUUGCGCAAUGGGCGAAAGCCUGACGCAGCAACGCCGCGUGCGGGAUGACGGCCCUCGGGUUGUAAACCGCUUUCAGCAGGAACGAUGAUGACGGUACCUGCAGAAGAAGCUCCGGCCAACUACGUGCCAGCAGCCGCGGUAAUACGUAGGGAGCAAGCGUUGUCCGGAUUUAUUGGGCGUAAAGAGCUCGUAGGCGGUUCGGUAAGUCGGGUGUGAAAACUCUGGGCUCAACCCGGAGAGGCCACUCGAUACUGCUGUGACUUGAGUCUGGUAGGGGAGCACGGAAUUCCUGGUGUAGCGGUGAAAUGCACAGAUAUCAGGAGGAACACCGGUGGCGAAGGCGGUGUUCUGGGCCGGAACUGACGCUGAGGAGCGAAAGCGUGGGGAGCGAACAGGAUUAGAUACCCUGGUAGUCCACGCCGUAAACGUUGGGCACUAGGUGUGGGACCCUAUCGACGGGUUCCGUGCCGUAGCUAACGCAUUAAGUGCCCC